UACAGAGGGUGCAAGCGUUGUUCGGAAUUAUUGGGCGUAAAGAGCUCGUAGGUGGCCUGUCGCGUCGGCUGUGAAAACUCGGGGCUCAACUCCGAGCUUGCAGUCGAUACGGGCAGGCUAGAGUUCGGCAGGGGGAGACUGGAAUUCCUGGUGUAGCGGUGAAAUGCGCAGAUAUCAGGAGGAACACCGGUGGCGAAGGCGGGUCUCUGGGCCAAUACUGACGCUGAGGAGCGAAAGCGUGGGGAGCGAACAGG
rnacentral:rRNA from 1 species